GAAAAAUCGAUCGAAAAACUGUAUCGAUAAUUUUAGUAGACGGCUUGUAGAAGACAAGCGUGUGAUCGUCGUUGAGCUGGAGAGCAUGCUGAUAUAAGCCUACGUGGAACACUUGGACCACAUGAAUGUAUACGCAGGCUCGACCAGAAGAGUUUUGUUCAGGAAUCCAGAUAUGAUACCGUAGACAUCACUUGAAGCCAAUGAAUACUUGGAGCUGUAGAUUUGAGCCGAGGCUGAUGAGGUUUGAAGUCGCUGUUUUUCGAAUUCCACGUCAGCGGCGAUUUUCUCGAAAUUCUUCUGCUCUGCUUUCCAUUCACUGUUGUACUCGAAUCUGUUAAAAACGUGUCUCAGGCAUU
ensembl:antisense_RNA T13F3.10 ncRNA